AGCAGAGUAGAAUUUUGUGCGUAAAUCAUUGAUUUACAGUGCCUUCUGAACGGGGAGUUGUCAGAGGGACGAAAAGCUUUAACAGGCUUACGGUACAAGGUUCGCAUCCCGCUGCU
rfam:Clostridium sp. W14A NODE_13, whole genome shotgun sequence.